rnacentral:tRNA from 1 species
GGCAGAAUAGUAUAGUCAAAAAUGUACUGGAUUUAGAGUCCAAGGUCCUGGGUUCAAAUCCUUUGUCCUGCUA